UGGGGAAUAUUGCACAAUGGGCGCAAGCCUGAUGCAGCCAUGCCGCGUGUGUGAAGAAGGCCUUCGGGUUGUAAAGCACUUUCAGUCGUGAGGAAGGUGGUAGUGUUAAUAGCACUAUCAUUUGACGUUAGCGACAAAAGAAGCACCGGCUAACUCCGAGCCAGCAGCCGCGGUAAUACGGAGGGUGCGAGCGUUAAUCGGAAUUACUGGGCGUAAAGCGCAUGCAGGUGGUUUGUUAAGUCAGAUGUGAAAGCCCGGGGCUCAACCUCGGAAUUGCAUUUGAAACUGGCAGACUAGAGUACUGUAGAGGGGGGUAGAAUUUCAGGUGUAGCGGUGAAAUGCGUAGAGAUCUGAAGGAAUACCGGUGGCGAAGGCGGCCCCCUGGACAGAUACUGACACUCAGAUGCGAAAGCGUGGGGAGCAAACAG
rnacentral:rRNA from 1 species